rnacentral:lncRNA from 1 species
UCACUGUUGCAGCAACAACACUCUUAACCACCACUGAGCCUGAGAAUCCCACCACUGCUUCUGUAGACAAAGAAACUACCAUAGUUCACAGUGAACAGCAAAGGUAAGGUAUGAAGAGAACUGCAGCCAUUUUGUGGUCAAAUUAAUUAAUCUCUGUACAUAUUGUUAAUAUAAGGUGGUUUGGUGUUGUACUUAGUAAUAAGGAUGAUGAAUCGAAUUUGUAUUACAAUGUAGUUAUGUUUGAACGAGGGCAUCCUGUGUAUCUUAAUUACCUUGCGUUUUUACAUUUGUAUUUAUGCUGCAGUGAUUCAAUUGACCCAAGGACCCUCAUCAUCUUUUUGAGCUUGAUGAUCUUCAUCGCAUUUGUCACCAUUAUCAUCUGGUUUAUGUUGAAAAAGCACAACUUCAUGCACGGAGAGCAAUGUGGAUGUGAUGUACAGCUCUGUGGUUUUCAAGAGGCCAAACGGUGUCCUAGAGACUUCAUAUACUCAGAGCGAUGUGGAUGUGAUGUACAGCUCUGUGGCUUUGAAGAAGCCAAAAUGUGUCCUCAAGGUAAAUAUCAACAAAACAGAAUCACACACUGA